GACGAACGCUGGCGGCGUGCUUAACACAUGCAAGUCGAACGGAAAGGCCCCUUUGGGGGUACUCGAGUGGCGAACGGGGGAGUAACACGUGAGUAACCUGCCCUUGACUUCGGGAUAACUUCAGGAAACUGGGGCUAAUACCGGAUAGGAAUCCUUGCUGCAUGGUGGGGGUUGGAAAGCUUCGGCGGUUUUGGAUGGACUCGCGGCUUAUCAGCUUGUUGGUGGGGUAGUGGCUUACCAAGGCUUUGACGGGUAGCCGGCCUGAGGGGGCGACCGGCCACAUAGGGUCUUACAUGCGGCACAGGCGCCUACUGGUGGCCGAUGUGGGGAAGCUUGCCCGAUCGGCGGCACCCUGAUGCAGAAGCGCCGCGUGCGGGAUAACGGCCUUCGGGUUGUAAACCGCUUUCAGCAGGAGCGAAGCUUGUGGUGACGGUACCUGCAGAAGAAGCACCGGCUAACUACGUG
rnacentral:rRNA from 1 species